GUGUGUGUGUGUGUGUGUGUGUGUGUGUGUGUGUGUGUGUGUGUGUGUGUGUGUGUGUGUGUGGUUUAAAUAUAAAUUUGUGACAAUUAGAAGGAUGGAUGGUGAAAUUCUCAGACCUCAUCAUACUGUUAAACUUUUCUUAGGCAUAUACUUUUAAAUAUAAUCUGAUGUAAUGCACGUCUCUGUAGAAUAAACUAAAAAGCCAUAAUUAAGCUUGCACACCCAUUUGAAAAGGGAGCCCUCACACGUGCUGGUAGUUCUCUAAUGCUUAUCCACCAUCACCUCGUCUAGCUGAUUAUUUGUAAAUUGCUCCGUUUCUUACACUGACUGACCGAUUCUUCAUGUUUGUUUGUCACAGUAACUGGAAGUGUCUGUGACGUGUUAGUGGCGUGGUGCUCACUGUCAUUUCUCUAACUCAGUGAAUGAGAGACCCAAGAAAUGUUAUCCCAGUAAAUAUCUGACCUGUGUAGCAACCAUGUGCAUGCGUGCACAGUUACAGUUAGUCGUUGCCUUUAUCAUAUCAAGAUUGCAUAGGCUGCAAGCAUGCAGUCGAAUGUUAGACGGACAAGCAGACAAGUCCUCAGUGUAUCCACGUGUUUCCAUCAGCCGCUGUACAGAAACAAACUCCCUGUGGCACUGGCAGGUAAUCGGCAGCUACUCACAACCUGUCAUGUCCAACGUUUUCUUAAAGGAGACUGCUCUCUGGCAUGUCAUCCUUCAGUUAUUAUUGAAUGCUCUAAAGUGUAAAAAGGUCAGGUACCCAGAUUAUACCAAAUGCAUACAUGUGAGGGAAGAACGUGCAGAAUGUUGUCGACUGUAGGUGUGCGCUCCAUCAUCAUGCCAUGUCUCCUCUCCUUUAGAAACUCUUAAGCUGCUUCUCCACUUCUUUCCAGCCUUGUCACAGUUUAUCCAGAGUUUUCAUCUCUUCCCAGGUUUCAAUCCAAACUUUAAAGAGAUAAACUUUAGAAGUUUGGGAGCAGCAGGAGAGCUUUGUGAAAGUGGGCCCAGGUAGAUGAUGAAGAACUGUCCUAAUUGUUACUAGGCAGUUUUAACCGUGUGCGUAGUUUUUGUUCAGAUGUUGUAGCUCUCGUAUGUUGGAUUUCUCUUUCAAGCUUCAAGAACAAAUUGGGCGUUUGUGGGUGUUUAAACUGGGGAGAGCAUUCAGGCCGCCACAGGUCGGUCUUCUUUUCUUGACUCGUUUGCUUUGGUUCACUGUUGUGUUGCAGCCUCUCCUCAGUUUGGACUACUGUUGCUUUAUUGAAACAUCCGACUCCAGCUACCUUUUGGGAAGUCUUCAUUUUCUUUUACAGGGAAACAGCGCGAGGUAUGACUCAGUGUGAGUCAUACCUUAGUUUGUGUUAGAUUGUUAUAUAAUUGCAGAAAUACCAGCCACACCGAGCUGUUCUUGAAACGGAUUGAACCUCAGCCGAGUCCACGUUAGCUGUGGAUCAGAGUCAUGUGAGUGCUUCCAGCUACUCAGCGUGGUUGAACCCGAUCAUUGAUGCAACAGUCUCUCGAAUGCCUUGAAUCAGUCUGUGUAUCUGUCUGUGUGUUUGCUGGCUUCUGUUAGCUCUGUGCUCUGUCUUAUUUACUGUCUGAAUUUGUCCUACAGUUUACUGGAACUUUAAUGUUGGGAAUGGAAACAUG
ensembl:lncRNA